rnacentral:rRNA from 1 species
GUGGGGAAUAUUGCGCAAUGGGCGAAAGCCUGACGCAGCGACGCCGCGUGGGUGAUGAAGGCCUUCGGGUUGUAAAGCCCUGUCGAGUGGGACGAAACGUGCGAGCUCUAACAUAGCUCGUGCUUGACGGUACCACGAGAGGAAGCCCCGGCUAACUCCGUGCCAGCAGCCGCGGUAAUACGGAGGGGGCUAGCGUUAUUCGGAAUUAUUGGGCGUAAAGGGCGUGUAGGCGGUCGUAUAUGUCUCAUGUGAAAGCCCUCGGCUCAACCGAGGAACUGCAUGGGAAACUGUGCGACUUGAGUCCGGGAGAGGAGAGUGGAAUUCCCAGUGUAGCGGUGAAAUGCGUAGAUAUUGGGAGGAACACCGGUGGCGAAGGCGGCUCUCUGGACCGGUACUGACGCUGAGACGCGAAAGCCAGGGGAGCAAACGGGAUUAGAUACCCUGGUAGUCC